GACGAACGCUGGCGGCGUGCUUAACACAUGCAAGUCGAACGAAGUGGCGAACGGGUGAGUAACGCGUAAUCAACCUGCCCUUCAGAGGGGGACAACAGUUGGAAACGACUGCUAAUACCGCAUACUGAAGGAGGGGAUUGCGUGUGAUUAGCUCGUUGGGGGGGUAACGGCCCACCAAGGCGAUGAUCAGUAGCCGGGCUGGGAGGAUGAACCGCCAAAUUGGGACUUGGACACGGGCCAGGCUCCUACGGGAGGCAACAGUGGGGAAUCUUCCGAAAUGGACGAAAGUCUGACGGAGCAACGCCGCGUGAGUGAUGACGGCCUUCGGGUUGUAAAGCUCUGUUAAUCGGGACGCGGUACCGGAAUAGAAAGCCACGGCUAACUACGUGCCAGCAGCCGCGGUAAUUC
rnacentral:rRNA from 1 species